rnacentral:rRNA from 1 species
UACGUAGGUGGCAAGCGUUGUCCGGAUUUACUGGGCGUAAAGAGCGCGCAGGCGGUCUUUUAAGUCGAAUGUGAAAUCCCUCGGCUCAACCAAGGAAGUGCAUCCGAAACUGCUGAGCUUGAGUACGAAAGAGGAUCGCGGAAUUCCCGGUGUAGAGGUGAAAUUCGUAGAUAUCGGGAGGAACACCAGUGGCGAAGGCGGCGAUCUGGGUCGAUACUGACGCUGAGGUGCGAAAGCGUGGGGAGCAAACAGG